AUAAGAUAUUAAGGGUAUAUGGUGGAUGUUUUGGCGUUUGGAAGCGAUGAAGGACGUAGUAGACUGCGAUAAGCCUCGGCAAGUUGUCAACAAACGUUGAGCCGGGGAUUUCCGAAUAGGGCAACCGACUAUGCUGGAGGCAUAGUAUCCUUAUCUGAAAAAAUAGGAUAAGGAGGCGAACGGGGCGAAUUGAAACAUCUUAGUAGCCAGAGGAAAAGAAAGCAAAAGCGAUUCCCUUAGUAGCGGCGAGCGAAGUGGGAACAGCCUAAACCAACUAGAUACGUCUAGUUGGGGUUGUGGGACAGCAAUAACUAAGAUUAACAAGAGUUAAAAGAAUUAGUUGGAAUACUAAGCCAUAGAUGGUGAAAGCCCAGUAUUUGAAAACUUGAAUUACUUAAGCUGUAUCCCAAGUAGCAUGGGGCACGUGAAAUCCCGUGUGAAUCAGCGAGGACCACCUCGUAAGGCUAAAUAUUCCUGAAUGACCGAUAGUGAAAUAGUACCGUGAGGGAAAGGUGAAAAGAACCCCGGGAGGGGAGUGAAAUAGAACAUGAACCCGUAAGCUUACAAGCAGAGGGAGGUCGACUAAUCGUCUAACCUCGUGCAUGUUGAAGCGUUAUAGGGUGGAGCCCAUUAGGGUGACGGCGUGCCUUUUGCAUAAUGAGCCUACGAGUUACCGUUGGCAAGGUUAAGGUUCAGGUCCGGAUCCGAAGCGAAAGCGAGUCUGAAUAGGGCGCUCAUAGUCUUGUGGUAGACCCGAACCCGGAUGAUCUAGCCAUGGCCAGGGUGAAGCUUAGGUAACACUAAGUGGAGGUCCGAACCGACUGAUGUUGAAAAAUCAGCGGAUGAGUUGUGGCUAGGGGUGAAAUGCCAAUCGAAUCCGGAGCUAGCUGGUUCUCCCCGAAAUGUGUUGAGGCGCAGCGGUUGAUGCUUAAUCUUGGGGGUAAAGCACUGUUUCGGUGCGGGCUGCGAGAGCGGUACCAAAUCGAGGCAAACUCUGAAUACCAAGUGUGUAGUCAACCAGUGAGACAGUGGGGGAUAAGCUUCAUUGUCAAGAGGGAAACAGCCCAGACCACCAGCUAAGGCCCCUAAAUAAUUGCUAAGUGGCAAAGGAGGUGGGAAUGCAUAGACAACCAGGAGGUUUGCUUAGAAGCAGCAACCCUUUAAAAGUGCGUAAUAGCUUACUGGUCGAGAUUCUGCGCCGAAAAUGAUUGGGAUAAGCAUAGUACCGAAGCUCUGGAUGUUCCCGCGUGAUGCGGGAGGUGGUAGAGGAGCAUUGUACUAGUUUGAGAAGCGAAAGCGGGUGUGGACAAAACAGAAGUGAGAAUGUCGGCUUAAGUAGCGAAAACAUUGGUGAGAAUCCAAUGCCCCGAAAACCUAAGGAUUCCUCCGGAAGGUUCGUCCGCGGAGGGUGAGUCAGGACCUAAGGCGAGGCUGAAAAGCGUAGUCGAUGGACAACAGGUUAAUAUUCCUGUACCAUUUAUUAUUGAUAUCGAGGGACGGAGAAGGCUAAGCUAGCCGGAUGUUGGUUACCGGUUUAAGUAUUAAAGGUGUAGAUGAAUAGUGAAAAUAUUCUGAGCUAAGAUACAAGUACAAAGUGCUAAGGCACUAAAGUAGCUGACGUCAUACUUCCUAGAAAAGCUCGGAAUAUCUUAAAUACUAAAUGCCUGUACCCUAAACCGACACAGGUAGGUAAGUAGAGUAUACUAAGGGGCGCGAGAUAACUCUCUCUAAGGAACUCGGCAAAAUAGCCCCGUAACUUCGGGAGAAGGGGUACCCUUCAAAAGGGUUGCAACAAUCAGGCCCAAGCGACUGUUUAUCAAAAACACAGGUCUCCGCUAAGUCGUAAGACAAUGUAUGGGGGCUGACGCCUGCCCAGUGCCGGAAGGUUAAGGAAGCUGGUUAGCUUUAAAGCGAAGCUAGUAACUGAAGCCCCGGUGAACGGCGGCCGUAACUAUAACGGUCCUAAGGUAGCGAAAUUCCUUGUCGGGUAAGUUCCGACCCGCACGAAAGGCGUAACGAUUUGGGCACUGUCUCGGAGAGAGACUCGGCGAAAUUGUAGUACGGUGAAGAUGCCGCUACCCGCAGAGACGGAAAGACCCCGUGAACCUUUACUAUAGCUAUUGUUUUGUAAGUUGUGUAGGAUAGGUGGGAGACUUUGAAGGACGUCGCUAGGCGUUGUGGAGCCGUGAGAUACCACUCUGGAAAAGCUAGAAUUCUAACCUUGAAAGCCGUUAUCCGGCCAAGGAACAGUUUCAGGUAGGCAGUUUGACUGGGGCGGUCGCCUCCUAAAAAGUAACGGAGGCGUGCAAAGGUUCUCUCAGGCUGGUCGGAAAUCAGUCGUAGAGUGUAAAGGCAUAAGAGAGCUUGACUGUGAGACCUACAAGUCGAACAGAGACGAAAGUCGGCCUUAGUGAUCCGGCGGUACCGAGUGGAAGGGCUGUCGCUCAACGGAUAAAAGUUACUCUAGGGAUAACAGGCUGAUCUCCCCCAAGAGUUCACAUCGACGGGGAGGUUUGGCACCUCGAUGUCGGCUCAUCGCAUCCUGGGGCGGUAGUACGUCCCAAGGGUUGGGCUGUUCGCCCAUGAAAGCGGUACGCGAGCUGGGUUCAGAACGUCGUGAGACAGUUCGGUCCAUAUCCGGUGUAGGCGUUAGAGUAUUGAGAGGAUUUCUCCUUAGUACGAGAGGACCGGGAGAGACGUACCUCUGGUGUACCAGUUAUCGUGCCAACGGUAAGCGCUGGGUAGCUAAGUACGGAAAGGAUAACCGCUGAAAGCAUCUAAGUGGGAAGCCAACCUCAAGAUGAGUACUCUCAUUGUUUUAAACAAGUAAGGUCACGGCAAGAUUAGCCGUUACAUAGGUAUCAAGUGUAAGUGCAGUAAUGUAUUCAGCUGAGAUAUACUAACAGCCGUUCGACUUAUCUCU
rnacentral:rRNA from 1 species